rnacentral:rRNA from 1 species
UACAGGGGGGGCAAGCGUUGUUCGGAAUUACUGGGCGUAAAGGGCCAGUAGGCGGCCGACUAAGUCCGACGUGAAAUCCCCUGGCUUAACCUGGGAACUGCGUCGGAUACUGGUUGGCUUGAAUUCGGGAGAGGGAUGCAGAAUUCCAGGUGUAGCGGUGAAAUGCGUAGAUAUCAGGAGGAACACCGGUGGCGAAGGCGGCCCUCUGGACGGUGACUGACGCUGAGACGCGAAAGCGUGGGGAGCAAACAGG